rnacentral:lncRNA from 1 species
AUGCCACUGCUCAGAGUGACUUCCCCAGAGACUCCAGCAGGCUGCCCCUCCUGGGGGGCAGAAUGGGUUCCCUGCUGGAGGUGCCAUGUGGAGCUCUGCACGGGUCUGCAAACAACCCCCAGGACAUGUACAUCUGCUCUCCCUCACACGCUCAAGAAGCACGCCCUCACAUCCCUCCACAGACAAACACACCCUCCACUACCUGCACACACCACAGACAGCCACACACACACACCUGCACACAGCACACACACUCACAUGCCCACACCCACCUGCCCACAUACACAUGCAAACACACCCACAUGCACAGACAUACAUCACAGACACACACACCUGCACACACCAUACACAUUCACAUGCCCACACCCGCCUGCCCACAUACACAUGCAAACACGCCAGACACCCACACACAUGCACAGACACACAUCACAGACACACACACCUGCACACACCACACACAUUCACAUGUCCACACCUGCCUGCCCACAUACACAUGCAAACACACCAGACACCCACGCACAUCACAGACACACACACCUGCACACACCACACACACUCACAUGCCCACAACCACCUGCCCACAUACACAUGCAAACACACCAGUCACCCACGCACAUGCACAGACACACAUCACAGACAUACACACAUACGACAAACACCCCCCAUACACACACCUGUACACACUACACACAUCCACAUGCACACACCCAUAUGCCCACAAACACACCAGACACCCACAUACAUACACAUACACACAUCACAGACACAAACCACAGACACCCUGCCCCACACACCUGCACAAACCACACACAUUCACAUGCCCACACACACAAACACACCAGACACCCCCCCACACACAUACACACAUCACAGACACCCCCACACACACCUGCACACACUACAUACAUUCACAUACACACACACAACACAGACACACAUACACACAUGCAACACAGGUAUGCACACAUACAUAUCACAGACUCCCUCACAUUUCCCCACACCAGAGACACAGAGACCCACACACACAUAGUGACCACGUUCAUACCCACACAUACUCACGUGCUCAGGCACCACAGACACCCACACUCAGCCACACACAAAGUACACAUACCAUAUAUCCACACUCUGAACACACACUAUGAGCUAUAG